UGGCUUAGAAGCAGCCAUCGUUUAAAGAAAGCGUAAUAGCUCACUGGUCUAAUGGCUCUGCGCCGAAAAUGUAACGGGGCUAAGCAUGGUACCGAAGCUUUGGCAAUCCCCUUUGGGGAUUGGGUAGGGGAGCGUUCGCUGCGGGCUGAAGGUGUGCCGGAAGGCAUGCUGGACUGCAGUGAAGUGAUUAUGCUGACAUGAGUAACGAUAAAAUAUGUGAAAAACAUAUUCGCCGAAAACCCGAGGUUUCCUGGGUAAAGGUAAUCUUCCCAGGGUUAGUCGGCCCCUAAGGCGAGGCUGAAAGGCGUAGCUGAUGGGAAACGAGUUAAUAUUCUCGUACUUGUGUGUCCGCGCGAUGGAGGGACGCAGGAAGGUAAACGGUCCGGGUGUUGGUAUACCCGGUGCAAGCAGGUAGGCGUGCAGCACAGGCAAAUCCGUGCUGCUCUACGCUGAGACGCGAGUCCGUGGCCGCAAGGCCUGAAGCCGUUGAGCCUCUACUGCCUAGAAAAGCUCCUAAGUUUAUCCACAGCAAUCCGUACCGCAAACCAACUCAGGUGGGUGGGAUGAACAAUCCAAGGCGCUCGAGAGAACUCUGGCCAAGGAACUCGGCAAAAUAACCCCGUAACUUCGGAAGAAGGGGUGCUCUCUAGGGUGACAUGUUUAACAUAUGAAGCCCCGGGGAGCCGCAGUGAAUUGGUGGUGGCGACUGUUUACUAAAAACAUAGGUCUGUGCGAAGUCGCAAGACGACGUAUACGGACUGACGCCUGCCCGGUGCCGGAAGGUUAAAAGGAGAGGUCAGCGCAAGCGAAGCCUUGAAUUGAAGCCCCGGUAAACGGCGGCCGUAACUAUAACGGUCCUAAGGUAGCGAAAUUCCUUGUCGGGUAAGUUCCGACCUGCACGAAUGGCGUAACGAUCUCCACACUGUCUCGGCCAGAAGCUCGGUGAAAUUGAAGUCGCGGUGAAAAUGCCGUGUACCCGCAGAAAGACGGAAAGACCCUGUGCACCUUUACUAUAGCUUGACAUUGGAUUUUGGGCCUGCAUGUGUAGGAUAGGUGGGAGGCUGUGAACCCUGUACGCCAGUAUGGGGGGAGCCAUCCUUGAAAUACCACCCUUGCAUGUUUAAGAUCCUAACUUCUUCCGGUUAUCCCGGAGAAAGACAGUGUCUGGCGGGUAGUUUGACUGGGGCGGUCGCCUCCUAAAGUGUAACGGAGGCAUGCAAAGGUUCCCUCAGCCUGAUCGGAAACCAGGCGCUGAGUGCAAACGCAUAAGGGAGCUUGACUGUAAGAGAGACAUCUCGAACAGGAACGAAAGUUGGCGUUAGUGAUCCGGUGGUCCCGAAUGGAAGGGCCAUCGCUCAUUGGAUAAAAGGUACGCCGGGGAUAACAGGCUGAUCGCAUCCAAGAGUUCACAUCGACGAUGCGGUUUGGCACCUCGAUGUCGGCUCAUCACAUCCUGGGGCUGAAGCAGGUCCCAAGGGUACGGCUGUUCGCCGUUUAAAGUGGUACGCGAGCUGGGUUUAAAACGUCGUGAGACAGUUUGGUCCCUAUCUUCUGUGGGCGAAGGAGAAUUGAGAGGGCCUGUCCCUAGUACGAGAGGACCGGGAUGGACGCACCCCUGGUGAUCCUGUUGUCGCGCCAGCGGCAUAGCAGGGUAGCUAUGUGCGGAAGGGAUAACCGCUGAAAGCAUCUAAGCGGGAAGCCUGCCUUAAGAUAAGUUCUCCCUGGAGCAAUCCCUGAAGGGCCGAGGUAGACUACCUCGUCGAUAGGCUGGAGGUGGAAGCGCCGCGAGGCGUGGAGCUGACCAGUACUAAUAGCCCGUGCGGCUUGUUU
rnacentral:rRNA from 1 species